AUAUAUAAAUGCUGUACGCACAGAUACAUUAGGAAAAAUAAAAACGAAAAAAAGCAAGUAAAAGCGAAAAAAAAGCGAGUAAUAGCAAAAAAAAGCGAGUAAUAGCGAAAAAAAGCGAGUAAUAGCGAAAAAAAGCGAGUAAUAGCGAAAAAAAGCGAGAAUAGCGAAAAAAAGCGAGUAAAAGCAAAUUUACCAGUUUUAUAUAAUAAAUAUAUAAGACAUGCACAUAUUCUUAAAUAUACACAUAUAAAAAUUAUCCAAAAAAAAAAAAAAAAAAAAAAAAAAAAAAAAAAAAAAAAAAAAAAAUUAUAAUAUUAAAGGAAAUAAAAAUCCUAAAGUAUACAACAAAAAAAAUAAUAGCUACUACCAUUUUAAUAAAAAUAUUGACAAUGGUUUAAUUGAUGAUAGGUAUAACGAUACAGCUAAUAACUAUAGUGAAACAAGUAAUAAUUUGCUGUUUAGUGAAAAUGAGAAAAACAUAAACGAAAUAAAAAAUCGUGAUCGUCAAGGACAACAUAAUGAAUUGAAAGGAGUUAUACAUGAAACAAGUAGUGUACAUAGUUUUACUGGAACUGCUAUUUCUACAACUGCUAAUACAGUUACAUUUACGACAAACGCUGAUAAUGAUAAGAACGAACAGUUAAAAAAAAAAAAAAAAAACCUUACAUCGUCAGAAAAAAACAGCUAUAACAUUAAAAAAA
rnacentral:lncRNA from 1 species